GCAGAUGUAAUACCCGAAAAAUUCAAGUUAAUUUCCGAUGACGUUUUGGAAAUGAUUUCGUGGUCGUGGACACGAGUACGAAGCUUAGAGGAGUGUGGAAUUAGUUCGAACGAUUUUAUUUUGAAAACUGAACGUUUUAGGGGGGUCAAAGGAGUUGACUUUUUAUACAUUGGGAAAUUGGGAAAACUUCCUUCAUGAAAGUUGUAGAGCGCGUCGAUACGAGUUCGUGGACAUAUGGAACGUAAUAUUCGGAGUUCGUAUGAAUAAGUUACGAAUAUUUGAAAAUUGGGAUUUUCUAUAAAUAUGAAAAAAAAUCCGAAUAUUGCAAAUGAGGACAGAAUUUCUGGAACUCCAGAAAUUUCUCCCCAUUUCUCUCCCGAGCCCAGCCGCGACCCCCUCCCUUCGUCACCUUCGUUCUUCCUCAUCCGGCCACCGAUUGAUGUGAAACAAAGUGGGUUUUUCUGGUCUCGACCCCCUUUACGAGUUUGUAGAAGAAAUCGAAGUGAAAUACGAGCUGUAUGAGGCUCUACAAGGUCGAGAAGAGAGCCUCGUCGGAGACGAAAUCGCUCUUCCCCACUUUUUCUGGGCUCUACUUUGUCUGGCCAUAUCUUCCUCUACAGGCCUCCGAUCGACCUGAUUCCAAAAGAAAUUUUUCUCACCGUGAAGUUUUCUACAACUUUCCAGAAGACAUCGACUUGAGAUAACCAUCGUGGUGGCCGCUAGAAGACCGAGAAGCCGCACAGCCGAGCUGGAAAUCGUCUUCCUUCGCCACCUUGGUUCUCCCAGCUCCGGCCACUAUAGCUCGAGUUCUUUGAGGGCUUUUCUAGCCCAGAGGAAGUAGAAGCUAUCCCCAAGAAGGCUUGCAGCGAUUUGAUCCGGGGUGAUCGAAUUUUGAAGAUUGGGAAACUAGGGUUCUUCGGGUUUCAAAACUUGCGAGGUGAUUGACGGUCUCCCUUGGGUGAACGAUUUCGGUGUGUAUUGUGUUGAAUUGAAGACGCAGCGGGAAUAUCGAGGUGAGUAAAUCGCACAUGGUUCAUUCACGAACCGAAAUUCGGUGAUUUUAUUUAAUUGAGAAAUUGUGGAAAUUGUUUUACUAAAAUAAAUAUUUGUUUUAAAUUAUAUGGACUUGAUCGACUACGGUCCAUAGGUAAGUAAAAUGUAUUUAAACUAUAAAAAUGAAUUUCUAGAUUUUAUUGCAUGUGAACUAUAGUUGGUAUUAGUGGUCACUCUUGUGUGGGUGACUACGUAUAUAUAUAUUUACGUGGAAUAUAUAUUGGAUGGUGUGAUUUACUGAGUUA